AGAGUUUGAUCCUGGCUCAGGACGAACGCUGGCGGCGUGCCUAAUACAUGCAAGUCGAACGAACUCUGGUAUUGAUUGGUGCUUGCAUCAUGAUUUACAUUUGAGUGAGUGGCGAACUGGUGAGUAACACGUGGGAAACCUGCCCAGAAGCGGGGGAUAACACCUGGAAACAGAUGCUAAUACCGCAUAACAACUUGGACCGCAUGGUCCGAGUUUGAAAGAUGGCUUCGGCUAUCACUUUUGGAUGGUCCCGCGGCGUAUUAGCUAGAUGGUGGGGUAACGGCUCACCAUGGCAAUGAUACGUAGCCGACCUGAGAGGGUAAUCGGCCACAUUGGGACUGAGACACGGCCCAAACUCCUACGGGAGGCAGCAGUAGGGAAUCUUCCACAAUGGACGAAAGUCUGAUGGAGCGACGCCGCGUGAGUGAAGAAGGGUUUCGGCUCGUAAAACUCUGUUGUUAAAGAAGAACAUAUCUGAGAGUAACUGUUCAGGUAUUGACGGUAUUUAACCAGAAAGCCACGGCUAACUACGUGCCAGCAGCCGCGGUAAUACGUAGGUGGCAAGCGUUGUCCGGGAUUUAUUGGGCGUAAAGCGAGCGCAGGCGGUUUUUUAAGUCUGAUGUGAAAGCCUUCGGCUCAACCGAAGAAGUGCAUCGGAAACUGGGAAACUUGAGUGCAGAAGAGGACAGUGGAACUCCAUGUGUAGCGGUGAAAUGCGUAGAUAUAUGGAAGAACACCAGUGGCGAAGGCGGCUGUCUGGUCUGUAACUGACGCUGAGGCUCGAAAGUAUGGGUAGCAAACAGGAUUAGAUACCCUGGUAGUCCAUACCGUAAACGAUGAAUGCUAAGUGUUGGAGGGUUUCCGCCCUUCAGUGCUGCAGUUAACGCAUUAAGCAUUCCGCCUGGGGAGUACGGCCGCAAGGCUGAAACUCAAAGGAAUUGACGGGGGCCCGCACAAGCGGUGGAGCAUGUGGUUUAAUUCGAAGCUACGCGAAGAACCUUACCAGGUCUUGACAUACUAUGCAAAUCUAAGAGAUUAGACGUUCCCUUCGGGGACAUGGAUACAGGUGGUGCAUGGUUGUCGUCAGCUCGUGUCGUGAGAUGUUGGGUUAAGUCCCGCAACGAGCGCAACCCUUAUUAUUAGUUGCCAGCAUUAAGUUGGGCACUCUAGUGAGACUGCCGGUGACAAACCGGAGGAAGGUGGGGACGACGUCAAAUCAUCAUGCCCCUUAUGACCUGGGCUACACACGUGCUACAAUGGACGGUACAACGAGUUGCGAGACCGCGAGGUUUAGCUAAUCUCUUAAAACCGUUCUCAGUUCGGACUGCAGGCUGCAACUCGCCUGCACGAAGUUGGAAUCGCUAGUAAUCGCGGAUCAGCAUGCCGCGGUGAAUACGUUCCCGGGCCUUGUACACACCGCCCGUCACACCAUGAGAGUUUGUAACACCCAAAGCCGGUGGAGUAACCUUCGGGAGCUAGCCGUCUAAGGUGGGACAGAUGAUUGGGGUGAAGUCGUAACAAGGUAACC
rnacentral:rRNA from 1 species